rnacentral:rRNA from 1 species
UACGUAGGGGGCAAGCGUUGUCCGGAUUAUUGGGCGUAAAGAGCUCGUAGGCGGCUUGGCAAGUCGGGUGUGAAAACUUCAGGCUCAACCUGGAGCGGCCACUCGAUACUGCCAUGGCUUGAGUCCGGUAGGGGACCACGGAAUUCCUGGUGUAGCGGUGAAAUGCGCAGAUAUCAGGAGGAACACCAGUGGCGAAGGCGGUGGUCUGGGCCGGAACUGACGCUGAUGCGCGAAAGCGUGGGGAGCGAUCGG